rnacentral:rRNA from 1 species
GACGAACGCUGGCGGCGUGCUUAACACAUGCAAGUCGAACGGAAAGGCCUCUUUCGGGGGGUACUCGAGUGGCGAACGGGUGAGUAACACGUGAGUAACCUGCCCUUGACUUUGGGAUAACUUCAGGAAACUGGGGCUAAUACCGGAUAGGAGCUCCUGCUGCAUGGUGGGGGUUGGAAAGUUUCGGCGGCUGGGGAUGGACUCGCGGGUUAUCAGCUUGGUGGUGGGGUAGUGGCUUACCAAGGCUUUGACGGGUAGCCGGCCUGAGAGGGUGACCGGCCACAUUGAGACCUAUAUACGGCCCCGACUCCUACGGGAGGCAGCAGUGGGGAAUAUUGCACAAGGGGUGGAAGCCUGAUGCAGCAACGCCGUGUGCGGGAUGACGGCCUUCGGGUUGUAAACCGCUUUCGCUCAUGACGAAGCUUUGUGUGACGGUAGUGGGUAAAGAAGCACCGGCUAACUACGUG